UAAGUGGAAGCCAACUUGGCAUUUAUCUGUUACAUAAACCCCUGCUUCCUAUCAGCCCACUUAG
rnacentral:tRNA from 1 species